rnacentral:lncRNA from 1 species
GUAAAAAUAAUGGAACACCCAUAUAUUGGAUUUCAGCUGUUCAAAAGAAUGGCAGAUGUGUGACAUGAAGACAUCCAAAAUAUAUUUAAAAUGAAAAAGACUAAGUGCAGCUGCAGUACAAUGUAUGGUAUCAGCCGAUUUUUGUUAAAAAAAAAAAAAUCUUGUAUACAUGUAGAAACAUCUGAAGACAUUGUUUGCAGAUUACUUCUGGAGAAAUUAGGCACACGUAUUUUUUAAUUUCUUAAAGUUGCAUUAAAAUACAACUUAAUUAAAAUUAAUUUUUAUUACUUACAGCUAAGAAUAUAAGAACACUAUAGUCAUAUAAGAGAAAACAAUUAUCCAGAUGAGAAAUAAAAGCUCUAAAUUAGAGUAGUAAGAGUAAAGAUAAAGUGGAGGUUGGAAACUGAAAAUUUCAGAGAGAGAAUUACAGAUUUUAUCAACCAAGAAGAUAAAGAAAGGGAUGCAAAUUUUUUAAUUCCAGCUAACACAAUAGUGGCCAUUAACAAAAUAAAAUCAGUAAGUAUUCUGGACGUGUUCAAUUUUGAAUGGUCAGGUAAAUAUUUUUAUUGGCAAUAGGUGAAGUUUGAGAAACAAAUGGAUAUAUAAAGAAGUGCAUAGAGAACAGUUUUAAGGGGGACAAGGGAAAGAACCAACAUUUAGAAGAUGACUGAGAAGGAAGGUAAAACAGUACAAUCUAGUUUUUUUCCCUAUUGAAAGCAAAACCACUUUAACACUAUGAACAUUUUAUGACCUCAUGAUACUACCAUUUUUCAAUCCCACCAAUCAAUAUCAUAUCCCAAAGCCAUCCCACAACAGGGACUUCCUUACUAUUAAUUGCCUAAGUACUAAAGAAAAUAUGCUACUAAGGUAUGACUUAUUUUUCUGUAAUUUAAAAAAGGGGAGCUUUCUGUUCUGUUCUAGUUCCCAAUUAGACAGGACAAUUUUAAUUGAAGCUACUCUCCCAAACCAGUUUGUCAGCUGUUAUAAAUUUGUUAAUGGACAAAUAACACACUCAUGACAAAAAUUUCCUUAAUUAUAUAAAAGUAUAAUUCUAUAACUUGCAGAACUAAAAUUUGAUGCAUUUUUCCUAGUCUUUUCAAUGCUUCAUAUUUUAUUACAUAUAUGGAAAUAUUAUUUAUUGAAGGAUUACUAAAUAUCAAACCCAGACACUUUACCAUCUCAUUGUGCUUCCAACGAGAAGUUAAAUAAUUUGCUCAAGGUCACACAGCUAGAAUUUAAAACCGCCUAUUUACAUCUCAGGUAUGACUCCAAAGCCCAACCUUAACUACAAAAUUGCAUUAUCUGCUUCUCUUCUCCCCCAUUUAGCAUAGCUUCAGCAUUUCCCAAAACAUUAACAAUAAUAAUUUAUUGGCAACUUAACCUCUUAUUGUAUA